CCAGACUCCUACGGGAGGCAGCAGUGAGGAGUAUUGGUCAAUGGGCUUACGCCUGAACCAGCCAAGUCGCGUGAGGGAAGACUGCCCUAUGGGUUGUAAACCUCUUUUGUCGGGGAGCAAAGAGAGUCACGUGUGACUCAUUGAGAGUACCCGAAGAAAAAGCAUCGGCUAACUCCGUGCCAGCAGCCGCGGUAAUACGGAGGAUGCGAGCGUUAUCCGGAUUUAUUGGGUUUAAAGGGUGCGCAGGCGGGAUGCCAAGUCAGCGGUAAAAAUGCGGUGCUCAACGCCGUCGAGCCGUUGAAACUGGCGUUCUUGAGUGGGCGAGAAGUAUGCGGAAUGCGUGGUGUAGCGGUGAAAUGCAUAGAUAUCACGCAGAACUCCGAUUGCGAAGGCAGCAUACCGGCGCUCAACUGACGCUCAUGCACGAAAGUGUGGGUAUCGAACAGGAUUAGAUACCCGAGUAC
rnacentral:rRNA from 1 species